rnacentral:rRNA from 1 species
GACAGAGGUGGCAAGCGUUGUUCGGAAUUAUUGGGCGUAAAGAGCUCGUAGGCGGUUUGUCGCGUCUGCUGUGAAAACUGGGGGCUCAACCCCCAGCCUGCAGUGGGUACGGGCAGACUAGAGUGCGGUAGGGGAGAUUGGAAUUCCUGGUGUAGCGGUGGAAUGCGCAGAUAUCAGGAGGAACACCAAUGGCGAAGGCAGAUCUCUGGGCCGUAACUGACGCUGAGGAGCGAAAGCAUGGGGAGCGAACAGG